rnacentral:rRNA from 1 species
GGGCAUUGCCGGGUCUACCAUGCAGUCGACGGUGAAGCCCUUCGGGGUGGAUCAGUGGCGAACGGGUGAGUAACACGUGGGCAAUCUGCCCUGCACUCUGGGACAACCCGGGGAAACCCGGGCUAAUACCGGAUACGACCCUCCAGGGCAUCUUGGGGGGUGGAAAGCUCCGGCGGUGCAGGAUGAGCCCGCGGCCUAUCAGCUUGUUGGUGGGGUGAUGGCCCACCAAGGCGACGACGGGUAGCCGGCCUGAGAGGGCGACCGGCCACACUGGGACUGAGACACGGCCCAGACUCCUACGGGAGGCAGCAGUGGGGAAUAUUGCACAAUGGGCGAAAGCCUGAUGCAGCGACGCCGCGUGAGGGAUGACGGCCUUCGGGUUGUAAACCUCUUUCAGCAGGGAAGAAGCGCAAGUGACGGUACCUGCAGAAGAAGCACCGGCUAACUACGUGCCAGCAGCCGCGGUAAUACGUAGGGUGCGAGCGUUGUCCGGAAUUAUUGGGCGUAAAGAGCUCGUAGGCGGCUUGUCGCGUCGGUCGUGAAAGCCCGGGGCUUAACCCCGGGUCUGCGGUCGAUACGGGCAGGCUAGAGUUCGGUAGGGGAGAUCGGAAUUCCUGGUGUAGCGGUGAAAUGCGCAGAUAUCAGGAGGAACACCGGUGGCGAAGGCGGAUCUCUGGGCCGAUACUGACGCUGAGGAGCGAAAGCGUGGGGAGCGAACAGGAUUAGAUACCCUGGUAGUCCACGCCGUAAACGUUGGGAACUAGGUGUGGGCGACAUUCCACGUCGUCCGUGCCGCAGCUAACGCAUUAAGUUCCCCGCCUGGGGAGUACGGCCGCAAGGCCUAAAACUCAAGGAAUUGACGGGGGCCCGCACAAGAGGCGGAGCAUGUGGCUUAAUUCGACGCAACGCGAAGAACCUUACCAAGGCUUUGACAUACACCGGAAACUGGCAGAGAUGUCAGCCCCCUUGUGGUCGGUGUACAGGUGGUGCAUGGCCUGUCGUCAGCUCGUGUCGUGAGAUGUUGGGUU